CCCAGUGCCGCCCGCGGGCGGUUCCCGCCGGCCGGGCUGGCCGCGACGGGCCCGCGCGCCGGGCGGGGGGCGGGCGUCCGGGCUGGCCUGCGGUGUUCUCCCGCCCCCGCCCCGGGCUGGCGCGCCCCGACGCAUCUCCUAGGGGCACCGGGGCUCUCCGCCGAGCUCCGGGCAGGUCCUGAGUUCCCUCGCGCAUGCAUGCAGCCAUUCGUUCCACAGCCAUGACUGGGCACCUACUGUGUGCCAGGCCCUCAGUGAUUUCAUGCCUAGGGAAGGCAAGAAGUCGGCGCCCAAAGAAACUUUGAAAUGAGGAGUCUUGCACGACGGGUGCGCGGUUGAGCUGAGGUCCCGCUGACUUCCAGUCCAGUGCUCGUCCCUUGGCACUAGUAAGCUUCCCUGGUUAAACCUCCCCAAGGCUCGUGGGACCCCUACCUGAUCUGUGCUCCUGCUUCCCACCUCCGUCUCAUCUCACACCUGCCUUCCUGCGGAUCCUAGAGCGCCUUUCUGUCCAUCAAACACUCGAACUUCACUAACCUCAGGACAUUGGCGCCCGCCUUUCCCUCUGUGGGACGUUCUUGCCCAGCUUUUCACGUGGCCGGCGCCUUCUCAUUGUACAUAGGUCCCCUCCUCAGAGAGGCCUUUCCUGACCACCUUCCUCGAUUAGCCCUCUGCUCCUGACCACUCCGUGUACUCUGUUUUCUUCAUAGCAUUUAACAGUGAUUUAUCCAUUUUCAGCAAAUAUUUAUUGAGCACCUAUUCUGGUUUUUCUCGCGUGGGGAACAAAUAGACAAAAAUUCUGUCCCCCAGUGGAGUUUGGGGAAAGAGGGACAGGUAACAGAUAAACAGCAAAUUAGCAAACUAUGCAUUAUAUUAGAAAGUGAUAAGUUCUAAGAGGAAAAAGAGCAGGGUCAGGAGAUUUGGGGCUGGAGGUAAGCAGUGAAUUUUCAGUGAAGCGGUCGGAUAGGGCCCUUGAGCUGAUGGACGGUCUGAUUGGGUGACACUGAGAAGGUGAUAGUGGUAUUUCAGCCACGCAGAUAAGCAGGGAAGAGCAUUCCUGGCCGAGGGAACAGCCAGUGCCAAGACCCAAAAGAGCGCCGGACCGCUUAGGGAACGGCAAGGAGGCAGAGGAGCAGAUGAGGUUGGUCACUUUGGCUUUUCCUCCGAUUUGUUUAAUUCUCAUGUUGUAUUUCCCUCCUAAAUGUCAGCUUUGGGGCUGUAGCUCUGCUUGUCUUUACUGCAGUGACCCCCCUGCAACACUGUCUGGCACACACUAGGCGCUCAAACAUUAUUUGUUGAAUAUGUGAACGAAGGGAUGCAGAGAUGGUUGGAACCCUCCAGUCGGGCCUGGGUGCCAGGUCCUGGGGGCAGUCGUUCCAGGGAUAGACUGAGGCCUCGGCAGCCCCUGGAACCUCAUUUCGGUCCUUGUCCCGGAGUCGCACGUCCCGGGAUAGCGCCGCUGCAGCGGGUGCCGCCCGUGCAUCGCGUCGGGGGGAUUUCCGACGGAGCCCGGAGUCCAGGGGCAGGACCGCCCGCGCCCCGCCCGGCCCGGCCCGGCCUCGAGUCGCCAGCAAAACCUGGAGCCGCGGCGCCCGCUCAGCACCACUCGGACGGGCGGGGAGCGCACUGGGCAUGCUCGGAGCCGGGCGGGGCCGGAGCCCCCGGAAGGAGGAGCCCCCUGGAGGGGCAGGCGACGCCCCCCGCAGAGCUCCACCCAGCGCCCCCGGGCUCAGCAGGAGGCAUUCUCUGUCCUUUCCCCACUGCCUUAUCCUCUCUGUGCUUCAACCAUUGUGAAUACCUACGCUUCGAUCUGGGCACCCGAGUGGAAGUUGAGUGAAAUAAGGAACGUGAACGUGUUUAGACCACCUUAAAGAUCCAUUUCUUGAGUGCCUACCAAAAUCAGCCGUCAUCCUCAUGCCAGUUUGCCAACUGCUGAGAUGAGGAAACCGAGGUCAACGGAGGAUGUGUGAAUUUUCGAAGUUGUCUUAAUCUGCUGACCCCUAGACUGAAAUUACCUUUUCUUUUCCCACAGCUAACAGCUGUUAGCUUAAACGAUGCCCUCAACUUUGAGCUAGGAACAUGCUUACACCUAAAGGAAAGACCUAAAUAUUUUAAAAAUCAUGCGUUUUAAAUCACCAUAACAGAAGCAGGAACAAAAUGAAAGAAUACUCCCCAAAUUGGAAACAAACUAAGUACUCAAUAACAGAGGGAUGAUUAAUUAGGUUAUGGUAUAUUAGUUGAAAUAAUAACUAUCUUACACUAAGUUAAAAAGACCAUGUUGCAACAGGGAAAACACGGUACAAUGUUAAAUGAAAAAAAAAAAAACCGCAGAAAACAGGUCGGGUGAGGUGGCUCAUGCCUGUAAUCCCAGCACUUUGGGAGAUCCAGGUGAGAAGGUAGCUUAAGCCCAAGAGUUCAGGACCAGCCUGGGCAACAUAGCAAGACCCCAUCUUUACAAAAAAAAACUUAUCCAGGUGUGGUGGCAUGCACCUGUGGCCUCAGCUACAUGGGAGGCUGAGGUGGGAGGAUCUCUUGAGCCAGGAAGGUCAAGGCUGCAGUGAGUUGUGAUGGCACCAUUUGUACUUCAGCCUGUAUGACAGAGCGAGAUUCUGUCUCAAAUAAAAAAAAAAAAAAAAGCUAAAAACACAAAUAGAUUGUAUAAACAUGGUGUUGACACAUUCACCAAGACUGGAAGGAAAUAUGGGAAAAUUAACUAGUCAUUUUUUUGGAGUAGUAAGUUUGGGUGUUUUUUAAAAGUUUAUUAAUGUCACAAUGACAUGUUUGCAAUAAUAAGCAUUUAAAAGAUCAAAUUAAAAAUUCUUGUUUUGUGUAUAUCCAGUUACAGUAACUGCUAUUAUCAAGCUCAAGUACGAUGAAUAUUUUAUAUAUAUUCUCUCUUUAAUCCUUACCAUCACUCUACAGAGUGGGUGUUUUAGCUCAGUUUUACAGAAGAGAAAACAAUCUAGGGGCUGUUCACAGCUGUUAAGGGGGUGAGGAUUUGAACACAAGUCAAUCUGAUCUCAAAGUCAGGGUGUUAGGUUUUAGGACACACUGCCUCUCUGUGUAGUAGAUUACCAUGUAUUGAUGAUAAGAGAAGCUAUAUGUCAUCUAAUUUUGUAGGGUUUUUUGCCUUAUUUUCUCUACCCUUUGAUGUGUUUGUAGGCUACAGAUUACCUUUAAAUGUUCUAGUCUCCUGUUACUGUUUUAUUCUUGGGGCCAAAAUGUUAAAGUCUAUCCUUUUAAGCUGUUGCAUCUGGAGUGACAUAAGGUUAUUAUUACCAAUGACAGUUGAUCUUAUAUCAUAAGCUCCCAAACCUUACGUAAAUGGGGCUUUUGAAUGGGCACAUAAUCUUCUUAGGCUAUUGUUGAACUCAGCCAAGUGUAGAGCAAAUUAAAGCCCAAUUGGGAAUAGAGCUGUACUCAGUCCCAGAUCGACUGGUCCAGAGAGGACCCACAUAGAUUAUCGUCUCUGGGCAUUCACUUUGGAGGCAGGAUCACAACAUGAUGGAACCACCUGGUCCAUGGACUCCUCAGGGACUUUUCUGUGAUGAAAUGACAGAGAGCUGAUAGUCCUGAUGAUGUUUGCUGAGAGAAAGCCAGGACCGUAAGAGCAGCCCUCCUCCUGCGAAGCUCAAAAAUAUAGUCACCUCUCUCUCUUAGUGCCAGUAGACUGUACCUGGCUGAAAGAUCCAGAAACCGUGAAAAACAAUAACAACAAAGAAAACAAAAGAGCAUCAUUUUAUUGGAGAGUAAGAUACGCUACAAACUGAAUAUACAUCACAGGUAAUGGACCAGAUUCGUAAAAGAGGAACAAGAGAUGAACAUCUAAACAUAGUUAUUAGCAGCAUUCCCAGAAGCUGCCAUUGGGGCAGAAAAUCAGGUGCCAGGCACUGUAUGCAGGCAAUUGGUUAAGGGAAUUUAUAGGAAGAGUUUCCUGGAAGAAUCACUGAGGAUUGUCAUUCGCAUCAAGACUUGGGAAGUCUGCCCUACUUGUACUGCUCCAGUGAUUUACAAAGCAGUGCUCUGAGCUGAGAUGCUAAUGCUCAUCAAUUAUUUGUGCUGUUAAUGCAAGCUUAUGAAGAGCCCGAGAAUCCAUAAAUACAUGGGCAAGUGGUGCUGUUAGAAUGACAUGAAAAGAAUAUGAUGUAAAAUACACAUGGUAUGGUAUGUGGGAAUUCAGUAGGUUGAACUAUAAAUUGCCAGGCAGGGUGCAGUGGCUCCCACCUGUAAUCCCUGCACUGUGCGAGGCUGAGGUGGGAGGAUUGCUUGAGGACAGGAGUUUGAGACCAGUCUGGGCAAUGUAGUGAGACCCUGUCUCUACAAAUAAGAAAAAAAUUAGCUGGAUGUGGUGGCACCCAUGUGUGGUCCCAGCUACUUGGGAGACUGAGGUGGGAGGAUCACUUGAGUCAGGGCGGUUGAGGCUGCAGUGAGUCCUAGUUGUGCCACUGCACUCCAA
rnacentral:lncRNA from 1 species